GACGAACGCUGGCGGCGUGCUUAACACAUGCAAGUCGAACGGAAAGGCCCUGCUUUUGUGGGGUGCUCGAGUGGCGAACGGGUGAGUAACACGUGAGUAACCUGCCCUUGACCUUGGGAUAACUUCAGGAAACUGGGGCUAAUACCGGAUAGGAGCUCCUGCUGCAUGGUGGGGGUUGGAAAGUUUCGGCGGUUGGGGAUGGACUCGCGGCUUAUCAGCUUGUUGGUGGGGUAGUGGCUUACCAAGGCUUUGACGGGUAGCCGGCCUGAGGGGGUGACCGGCCACAUUGGGACUGAGAUACGGCCCAGACUCCUACGGGAGGCAGCAGUGGGGAAUAUUGCACAAUGGGCGGAAGCCUGAUGCAGCAACGCCGCGUGCGGGAUGACGGCCUUCGGGUUGUAAACCGCUUUCGCCUGUGACGAAGCGUGAGUGACGGUAAUGGGUAAAGAAGCACCGGCUAACUACGU
rnacentral:rRNA from 1 species